CAGAUGUUCCAAGAAUGUUCUAUCAUGAACUCAGUCUUUUUUCCCAGAUGCCUGAUAUAUCCAGACUGCACAUAAAUGGAUGUCUUCUGUGAGAUCAGAAUCUUUCCCCAUUUUGAGAGACGCUCUGGAAGAUUUAAAUUCCAUGAAAAAAAUCUUUGAAGCCAACUCCACUCGGAUAACGAUCAGAAUUCCGCAAUAAUGCAAAAUACAUCAGUGCUGAGACAGACAACUGUUGGGACUUUUGAACCUUCAGAGUAUAUUUUUUUUAUUGGACUUUUAUUCGUAAAUACAACAAGCUUUAGUUUCUGUGAAGCAGACGGCUCAGUGAAAAGGGGAGAAGCUGAAACCAACAUAGGCAGGUGUCAAGCAAAUGUCUCCAAGAAGCUCUUGCAAGGGUUGUGGUAUGGACCUUCACUUCCUUUUAUUAUUCUGCUUACCAUCUCACUUCUGGGAUUUGGACUUAAUUGCUGGGUGAUUCUGUGAUGUAACCAUCUAGCUGCAUACCUGUUGCUUAAAUAGGAGUCCAGCUGGUCUCCGAAGAAAGAUUCAUCUACCUCCUGUACAGCCCAAGCUCAUUCAGGUACCUUCUCCUCAAGGCUGGUUCAUUGUUGCUUCAAGAUCUUUUUCACUGACAAAAUCGUUAGAUUCACCCUCAAUAUAUUUAGUUAUACCUUUUGAACUCCGCUUACAAAAAUGUAGAAGGCUUUAGAAAAAAGAAAAUUGUGUUCCAAAGUCGUGAAUGUUCUCAGCCUCAUCAAUUAUUUUUAAUAUUAAAAGUCAGCAGAUGGAGCCAAAGACUUGUAGAAAAAUUACUUGUGCUUGAAUGUAUAUUAAACCACAAAACCCACACAGUUUAACUAAUAGUCCUUCUACUGAAAUUUAUAAUAGCAAGGCUAUUUAAGUUUGGUGCUAACCCUCAUUCUAGCAUCCCUAUUUCAUACUCUGUGCAGAAUGAGAGCUCACCCCUUCAUACACUGGGAGUCUAACAAGACUAAAGAGAGCAAAGUUGGAGCUGGAACCUGAUUUUCUUUGCAGAUUUAUAUCUGUGUGAGGUUUUCUGAAGCCUUGAUCACCACUUUAUCAGAAAAAUGGUAUUAUGUUUUGUCAAUAUUUUCACUUCUCCUGUGAGCACAGUAGUUGGAAUCCACUAUUGACGGUUAGAUGGGAAUUCAUUACGACCUCAUUUUUGCUACUGCACAGUUGGUAAGGUACUGGGGUUUGGCGUUUUUCCCCUGAAGCAACUGAAAUCGGCCUUUGCCUCAGAUAAUAUGUCAGACUUGAUACUCUAAUAGGCUACCCUAUGCUUUUAUUGAAUGUUAACAUCCUUUUGGGGUCUUAAAUAAUAUCUUUAGAAAAAUAAGGGGGUGAAAUGUUUUCCAAACAGUGUAUAAUUUAUCCCACACUAAUAAAGUAAAAAAAAUCCCAAAGGCAAUAAAUAUAUCUACCUUUUGCAGGAAGGAGGGAAAAACACCUGUCAUAGCUAUAAAAUGUAUUUAAAGGGUGAUGAUAUGGCAGAACAGAGAUACAUACUGUUUUGCCAUUCAGCAAAGAUGGAAAACGAAUAUUUACGUGGCUGAUGGCAGCUGUCUUAAUUAAAACUGUUAAAUUUCAUUUUUUAAAUUCUUGGUCCUCUAAAUCUAAUCCUCUGAAAGGCUGUGAUGUAUACAUGUUAUCCCUGGAAUAUAAAGUGGUAUAUAAAUAUAUGUUUAAGUGUUGCACUUUGUUCGCCUUCGUUUUGAUGAUGCUUGGUUAGGUCUCUUUAGUUUGGAGCAAGCAUCUACUUAAAGUGGCUUUGCAAGCUUGGCUUAUUGGCCAAGUUAAAAGCUUUGCUUAUUUGUCUCUUUAUCUGGCCUCAUCUAUGCCUAAAUUAUCAUUUCCCCCACUCAUCCUGUUCAGAGACAGCAAUAAAACUUCAGCCAGUUGUACCAGCUUGCUGACUUGCUUUCCUCUAAUCAGCAUUGACUGUAAUAGCAAGACUUUCUAACAUUGACAUUUUUCUUUUGAAUGAUACAAACAUUUUUUAGUUUCAGAUUCACUCCUAACUUACUGGAGGCAUUUCCGUUUUUCUCCCUAAAUAAAGGUAUCUAGUCACUUCCAAUAAAAUUAUGAUUUUUUUUUUUCAAGCCUGGAAGUUGUACCAAAAACCCAUAAAACACAGGACUAGGGAGUGCACCCCGAAUUAUGUCUUAUUCUCAUCUCUUAUAAGUGCAAGUAGCCACAUCUUGGAGUCUCACUGUGAUGGGUAUCUUCUAUGUCCAUAUUCACUGUAAAAGAAUAGUAAUGCAUUUUAGAAUAAAGACAAUGUAAAUUUGUGGCAUAGGGAGACAGUGGUUUUUUGCUGAAUUUAAAAGCAACUUCUGGAUAUGCAGUCCAAGUUCAGCAUUGAUUUCCACAGAGAUAAACACAGAUAUCCUCUGUGUAAUACUGCCCUGAAAGAGCAAAUGCUGUUUUGGUUUUUGAGAGAAGAAUGUUUUGGCUAAUGAAGAACAGUUGGUAGAUAUGGUGACCACCAUAGUAGCGUGUACAUCCUGAAGAGGCUAUGAAAAGCUGCAGUAACUAGCUAGUGUUUCAAUGUUGCAAACUUCCCUGUGUGAGUUGUUGCCUUUGUCACACUAAAAAUGUUCUUCUGAUAUUAUGCAUCUAUCCUAGUCUUUAGCUGUGAACAAACCUAAUUGAGUGCUUUUUAAUUUUAUACCGUUUUUUUCAAGAUGUCUACCUCCAUAGUAUUGGGCUUUUUUAUCCUCAGGUAUUUCUUAAUCAUUUUAAAUUGAAAAGGUACAUACAAUUACAACAUGUAUAAUGUAUUGAGAGAAAGUGGUGAUGCAGUUUUGCACUAUUUAAGAUAUUCAUAAUCCACUCCAGUAUUUUAGAGAAUGGCAGCUGUUGAGACCUAGUAGUUACAGUGAAAAAACUGCAAACGAGGAAAUCUGAUCAUGAAGGAAUGCUUCAGAAGAUCUGAUAGAACAUUUAAAACUACAUGGGGGGAAAAAAAUCUUAAAGAAUAUAACGAAUACAGAAAAGAUUCUUGCAUUGGUGGAUAGGCUAGAUAAGCUUACUUUAGACUGGAUCCAGUCGUUUUGGUGUAUUUCUUGUGGCCUGCACAUUUUGGAUUAUGCAUAAACUCAGCUUUAACUUAAAAAGCAAAGUUUCUAUCUCUCAAGGCUGUGAGGGAGUGACAGUAGCAGUCUUAUAGUUCUGACUCUGCAGAUAGGGCAAAAGUGUAUACUCUGGACAUGUAAAGUCUUCAUUGGCCAUUUUGGUGAAGGUCCUAGCAGAUGUGUUGGGCAGGGAAUAGACGUGAAACCUCACAGGAUAGGAGAUGGAAGGUUCUGCAAAGAAAGAACUCUAGAUAGGAGCAGAAGAGAUAUGCAUAGAUAGAAAAGGGAGAGAAACAAAAAGUAAGAAAAGCAGGUUUUGUUAUGUCAUGGUACUGUAUAAACUGCUAAAAGAUUGUGCUUUGCUAUGUGAAAUGCCAAUGUUACAGUGCUCCAGUUCACUCUUUCGUAAACUUCAGGUUGUCCUCCUUGCCUUUCCCAAGCUUCUGUUUGGCAAUCUGUUGCCAGGUAUUUUUGCAUGAUGGCUGUAGUGGCAUUUUCUGUGUUACUCAUGCAUGUUGCAACCUGAGGGAACUUAUUUUUAAGGUCCCUUCAUGGUCCACAUGCGGUUUCCUUUUGAAAGACCCAUAAUUGAUUAAAACAAUUUGUAAAUUGGCUCUUUUCCUUCUCUUUCUCCUCACAGAUGACUAUUUCCUUAUCGUUAGGGUGCAAACUCCCCGAACAGAUCUUUCUUCACCUUUUUGGAAAGUAUUCUAACACAUAGUAAAUCAUAAAGCAAACCAAUAAAUAAACACCAACAAUAGUGAAACUGAAUUUUGCUCAUAGUUUAUGCUGCAUAUUCUGGUGAGGCAGGAGAAUCCUGUUGUGCUUUCACCAUACUUCAGCAGUGCUUGCACAUCUCUGCAGAAUGUGUUUGAUUCCUUUACUGAAUCACAGUAUGUUUCCCAUGUCCCAUACCUGAUACUAGGAAAGAGGCUCACCUGUUUUAAAUAAGAAAUUAAUUUGCAUAGGUGUUUAGAAAUACUGAAAUACAUUGAUGCAAGCUGUAAUUGGUUUGGAUCUUGAAAGUUUAAAAAUGAUGUUAGUAGGCCUGUCACUAAAAAGACAGGGGUGGCGGGGAAGGUGUAGAAAUAUUUAUUCAUCUGAUGACAGCUGAGAGGUUUAGGCAAAUAAAAAAUGUGUUAAAAGAUAAAAUAGUUUGGAAUUCUUUCAUUUGAAUAUAGCUCCUGGCUGUCAUUGUCAGAAUAUACCUGGUAUGCUUUGCAGCACACGUCAGGAAUUACUACUUUUACAAUCAGUGUUCUUUUUUUCUUUUUCUUCCAAAUUGGACAGCUCUUCCAUAGCAAGUUAACAAAUCCUUGAGAGGCAAAGAAGUCGCAACUCUGCUUCUAUUGUAAAUGCUUGUUGUACCAGAGGUGGGAGACCCUUUUCAUGAGUUAAUCAAAAAGACCUAUGCAAACAAGCAAGAGGAUUUUUUUCCUCAGUCAGUCACUACAGUUACAGAGCCUGACAUUGUUAGGUGAACCUUCGUGAUCUCAUAGGCUACUGCAUAUUCCUGUGUGCCAGACCUCUCAAUAAAAGUGUGGGGCACUGCAUACGCAAAUUCAUUGCAGCUGUCACAGCUGGCUGUGGUGAAGUUUGGUCAAGACCCUUUGAACUUUUUAUUUCACACUAAUCCCAUUUAGUGUGAUCAAUAUAUGGACCUCCAGCUCCUCGGUCUGUUAAUUAGGUGUCAAGUGUUGGGUUGGCUGGUGUCAGGCUGUAAAAUACAAACACAGAAGAGACUAUCAGUAGGGAAGUGAAGUGUUUAUUGUCUGCUGUAUAGGAGCCAUUGGUUCUGGAAAAACUCCCUUCCUAUCCUGAGAUGUCCUUAGGGAUCUCUAGUGCCUUUUGUUUCUCUCAGUAAUGUAAACAUAUAGUUAUUUAAGUGUUUUACCAAAAAUGUUGGUGUAGCUGGGGAUUGCAGAAUUGUGCAGAAGAUCCAAUUCUACUAAUAAUUUCAUGCUGGGAUGCCCCUUUACCUCCCUCCCCCCCUUAAUAGAAGUGCUUAUUAAUUGGUCUGAUAAUUAUUUGUUCUGGGUUGUUCAAGAUGAGAAUGGCUUCUUGUUUUUCUUAGAUACAUGUAAAAUAAAACUGCUCCUAAGACUUUACCUACAUUUAUUUUAACCCACACUUUGUAACACUCGGGGAAUAGACAGGAUAGCCAAGAUCUUAAUUUCCUUCAUCUUAAAGAAUCUUGGGAGAUUUUUGAACUCCCCCAUCUUCAGUUCUCCAUCAUCCAGGAAAGGGUAAAUAUGUAGAAUAAUAUUUCAGCUUUCAUACAUUUUGGGUUCCUUUAUUUCAGUCCUCCAGUGACAGAAAGUACUGGGGAGUUCUGAGUAGUUUGUUUCAUCUCCUUUGAAGAAAAACUUAAAUUUAUAAUCCCAGAUCAGACCUUUCCUAUAACUCAUGCAACUCAUCCUGUUAACUGUUUUAAUAUAUGGCACCACUAUUUCAUUAAACAACAUCCAGGAAUAAUUAGUUCAGCAACGAUGCCUCAGAACAAAAGCCCUUGAUUUCGUUUAACUUUAUAAGUUGGUCUCUUUUGAUCUGCAAGAGCACAUCUGGGGCCUUUAAGAAAGCAGAAAGAAAAAUAUUAAAUGUUUAGUAAGGCUGUUGGUGAAGGUUUUCAAAGCACAGUAACCCUUUGGUACCAGGAUGUAGCUCAGAGGCAAAAAAAGUGUGAAUUUCUUAUUUCAUAAGAUAUCAUAUGGCAGCUUUCUGUGGUAAAUGCUGUUUUUGUUAGCAGAUGACCAUUACAUUCUAGCUUUGUUAUUUCCAACUUCAUAAGGUGCAGUUUCUUCAUUCUUUACCCCAUUUUUUUCCCUUCAUUUUUCUGCCCUUUCUCUUUCCUCACUCAGUUGCAUGUGAAUAGAUGCAUCAAAAUCAUCAUUAUAAACCUGACUCUUUUCUACCACGUAUCUAUGCAUUUGAAUUUGUUUUUGCUCUGUCAAACUUUGCACUGUACUGCUUUGUUCCUUUAAUAGCUUAGCAUUAUCUGCCAAGGUGGUAGGGAUAAAUCCAUUUGUUCUUUCUCUAGACUCAACUGCUGAGAUUUCGAAAAUAUUAUACAAUGCAGAAGAUAUAAAUUUACUUGUCUAAUCCUAAACACUGUUGCUGGCUUGGAUUAGACAUUGCUUUCCAGUUCAACUGUGUAAAAUUUACUACUUUAAAAAUCCUACAUCAAGGAAAAGUUAUAAGACUUUGUGUACCAAUUGUUCUUAAUUUCAUAAAAUAAAAAGGAUUAUUGCAGAAGA